rnacentral:rRNA from 1 species
UGAGGGAAUAUUUGGGGUCAAUGGGGCGCAGGCCUGAACCAGCCAAGUCGCGUGAGGGAGGACGGUCCUACGGAUUGUAAACCUCUUUUGUCGGGGAGUAACGUGCGGGACGCGUCCCGUAUUGAGAGUACCCGAAGAAAAAGCAUCGGCUAACUCCGUGCCAGCAGCCGCGGUAAUACGGAGGAUGCGAGCGUUAUCCGGAUUUAUUGGGUUUAAAGGGUGCGCAGGCGGCGCGCCAAGUCAGCGGUCAAAGUUCCGGGCUCAACCCGGUGUCGCCGUUGAAAUGCGUAGAUAUUAGGAGGAACACCAGUGGCGAAAGCGGCUUUCUGGACGACAACUGACG